UCCUGCAGAAGCUGGUGCCCAACGGAACCAAAGUGGAUCUCAGCACUAUGCUGGAGGAGGCAGUCCUCUACGUCAAGUUCUUGCAGCUACAGAUCAAGGUGCUGAGUUCUGACGAGAUG